rnacentral:rRNA from 1 species
GACGUAGGGGGCCAGCGUUGUUCGGAAUUACUGGGUGUAAAGGGUGCGUAGGCGGUCGAUUAAGUCAGUGGUGAAAUACUUCAGCUUAACUGGAGAGGUGCCAUUGAUACUGGUUGACUUGAGUACUGAUGAGGUAGGCGGAAUGGACGGUGUAGCGGUGAAAUGCUUAGAUAUCGUCCAGAACACCGAUAGCGAAGGCAGCUUACUAAGGAGUAACUGACGCUGAGGCACGAAAGUGUGGGGAUCAAACAGG